CGUGUAGGCGGGCAAUCAAGUCAGAUGUAAAAGGCGACGGCUUAACCGUAGUAUGUCAUCUGAUACUGGUUGUCUUGAGUUCGAGAGAGGGUGGUGGAAUUCCCGGUGUAGCGGUGAAAUGCGUAGAUAUCGGGAAGAACACCAGAAGCGAAGGCGGCCACCUGGAUCGACACUGACGCUGAGACUCGAAAGCGUGGGUAGCAAACA
rnacentral:rRNA from 1 species